rnacentral:tRNA from 2 species
CCCCCGAUAGCUCAGUCGGUCAGAGCAGCGGACUCAUAAUCCGUCGGUCCUGGGUUCAAGUCCCAGUCGGGGGACCA